rnacentral:rRNA from 1 species
AAUUUUGGACAAUGGGGGCAACCCUGAUCCAGCCAUCCCGCGUGUGCGAUGAAGGCCUUCGGGUUGUAAAGCACUUUGGGCAGGGAGGAAAAGGCGCCGGAUACUACCUGGCGCUGCUGACGGUACCUGCAGAAUAAGCACCGGCUAACUCAGUGCCAGCAGCCGCGGUAAUACGAAGGGUGCAAGCGUUAAGCGGAAUUACUGGGCGUAAAGCGUGCGCAGGCGGUUCGGAAAGAAAGAUGUGAAAUCCCAGGGCUUAACCUUGGAACUGCAUUUUUAACUGCCGAGCUAGAGUAUGUCAGAGGGGGGUGGAAUUCCACGUGUAGCAGUGAAAUGCGUAGAGAUGUGGAGGAAUACCGAUGGCGAAGGCAGCCCCCUGGGAUAAUACUGACGCUCAUGCACGAAAGCGUGGGGAGCAAAC